rnacentral:rRNA from 1 species
ACUACUACGUCGAUAGGCUACAGAUGUAAAGGUGGCGACACCAUAGUCGAGUAGUACUAAUCAUCCGAGGCUUUCAAA